UGGACUCUGUGAGUGCCAAGGUGGAGGGGGGAAAUGAAAAACCUGAAGUCUGGCUCUGUGAUGGCCUUCUGUAUGCCUGUGGGCAAGUCACUCCCACUGUCACGCUGCUCCGGAAGUCUCCCCAUGUCUACUCCAAGAGAACUACAGUUUGUGCCCUAAGUAUGUGCAUCUCUCUCUUCC